GUAGGGAAUCUUCCACAAUGGACGCAAGUCUGAUGGAGCAACGCCGCGUGAGUGAAGAAGGUUUUCGGAUCGUAAAGCUCUGUUGUUGGUGAAGAAGGAUAGAGGCAGUAACUGGUCUUUAUUUGACGGUAAUCAACCAGAAAGUCACGGCUAACUACGUGCAG
rnacentral:rRNA from 1 species